rnacentral:rRNA from 1 species
UACGUAGGGUGCAAGCGUUGUCCGGAAUUAUUGGGCGUAAAGAGCUCGUAGGCGGUCUGUCGCGUCGGCUGUGAAAUCCCGAGGCUCAACCUCGGGUCUGCAGUCGAUACGGGCAAACUAGAGUAUUGCAGGGGAGACUGGAAUUCCUGGUGUAGCGGUGAAAUGCGCAGAUAUCAGGAGGAACACCGGUGGCGAAGGCGGCUUCUUGGGCCUUACCUGACGCUGAGGCGCGAAAGCUGGGGGAGCGAACGGG